rnacentral:rRNA from 1 species
UCGACUUGGAGGUUGUGCCCUUGAGGCGUGGCUUCCGGAGCUAACGCGUUAAGUCGACCGCCUGGGGAGUACGGCCGCAAGGUUAAAACUCAAAUGAAUUGACGGGGGCCCGCACAAGCGGUGGAGCAUGUGGUUUAAUUCGAUGCAACGCGAAGAACCUUACCUACUCUUGACAUCCAGAGAACUUACCAGAGAUGGAUUGGUGCCUUCGGGAACUCUGAGACAGGUGCUGCAUGGCUGUCGUCAGCUCGUGUUGUGAAAUGUUGGGUUAAGUCCCGCAACGAGCGCAACCCUUAUCCUUUGUUGCCAGCGGUUAGGCCGGGAACUCAAAGGAGACUGCCAGUGAUAAACUGGAGGAAGGUGGGGAUGACGUCAAGUCAUCAUGGCCCUUACGAGUAGGGCUACACACGUGCUACAAUGGCGCAUACAAAGAGAAGCGACCUCGCGAGAGCAAGCGGACCUCAUAAAGUGCGUCGUAGUCCGGAUUGGAGUCUGCAACUCGACUCCAUGAAGUCGGAAUCGCUAGUAAUCGUGGAUCAGAAUGCCACGGUGAAUACGUUCCCGGGCCUUGUACACACCGCCCGUCACACCAUGGGAGUGGGUUGCAAAAGAAGUAGGUAGCUUAACCUCGGAGGGCGCUG